rnacentral:tRNA from 2 species
GCCUGAUUAGUCUAGCGGUUUAUGACGUUUCCUUUACAUUGCAACCUCUGUAAGGCUCGGAAAAGGUCACAGGUUCGACCCCUGUAUUAGGCA